rnacentral:misc_RNA from 1 species
GAUGAAGAACGUAGCGAAAUGCGAUAAGUAAUGUGAAUUGCAGAAUUCAGUGAAUCAUCGAAUCUUUGAACGCACAUUGCGCCCAUUAGUAUUCUAGUGGGCAUGCCUGUUCGAGCGUCAUUAAGUUCACUUAAGCCCUGCUUAGUGUUGGGAGACUGCUCCAGCGGUGCUACCCUGUAGCUACCCUGCAGCUCCUCAAAGACAGCGGCGGAGUUGUGGUAUCCUCUGAGCUUAGUAACUUGUUCUAGCUUUCGAGUACACCACUUCCCCUGCCGUAAAACCCUUAAUUUUUAAUGGUUGACCUCGGAUCAGGUAGGAAUACCCGCUGAACUUAAGCAUAUCAAUAAGCGGAGGA